GGGCCGCACGCGCGCUACACUGACGGAGCCAACGAGCUCUAUCCUUGACCGAGAGGUCCGGGUAAUCUUGUGAAACUCCGUCGUGCUGGGGAUAGAGCAUUGCAAUUAUUGCUCUUCAACGAGGAAUUCCUAGUAAGCGCAAGUCAUCAGCUUGCGUUGAUUACGUCCC
rnacentral:rRNA from 5 species